AUUGAACGCUGGCGGCAUGCCUUACACAUGCAAGUCGAACGGCAGCGCGGACUUCGGUCUGGCGGCGAGUGGCGAACGGGUGAGUAAUACAUCGGAACGUACCCUGUUGUGGGGGAUAACUAGUCGAAAGAUUAGCUAAUACCGCAUACGACCUGAGGGUGAAAGUGGGGGACCGCAAGGCCCCACGCAGCAGGAGCGGCCGAUGUCUGAUUAGCUAGUUGGUGGGGUAAAGGCCCACCAAGGCGACGAUCAGUAGCUGGUCUGAGAGGACGAUCAGCCACACUGGGACUGAGACACGGCCCAGACUCCUACGGGAGGCAGCAGUGGGGAAUUUUGGACAAUGGGGGCAACCCUGAUCCAGCAAUGCCGCGUGUGUGAAGAAGGCCUACGGGUUGUAAAGCACUUUUGUCCGGAAAGAAAUCGCGCUGGUUAAUACCUGGCGUGGAUGACGGUACCGGAAGAAUAAGCACCGGCUAACUACGUG
rnacentral:rRNA from 1 species